rnacentral:rRNA from 1 species
GCCUACAACCAUAUCACCCUGAAUGCGCCCGAUCUCGUCUGAUCUCGGAAGCUAAGCAGAGUCGAGCCUGGUUAGUACCUGGAUGGGAGACUGCCUGGGAAUACCAGGUUUUGUAGGCU